GAUGAAGUAGUGGUUUGAGCAUUGGACUGUGACUCUGAAGACCAGGGUCCGAACCCCUGCUUGGUCA
rnacentral:tRNA from 1 species